AAAAGGCUUACAUACACUUAAAUUAAACACAGCAGGGUUUUAGUAAUCUCUGUUUGCAUUUUACUUUCUGUUAAGAAGGAAAUUGCUUGGACUGGGAACAUUUCAUUUAAUGGCAUUUUUAGUUACCUUUUGUACUUCUAAUGCCAUAGUCUAAAUUCACCCCAAAUUACCCAGGAAGGCAAAAGAAACUUUUGUCCUUUAUUUUUAAUUGCUGUAGCUUCCUUACCAAUUUUACUAAAUUAAAUGUGUUUUAAAACAUCACCGUAUUUGAAACCUAAUUAUCCCAAUCUCUGAAUGAAGAAUAGCUAACAAUACAAACCCCAUUUAUGUAAUUUAUUUUGCAAAAGGAAAAUAAAUGGAAUGCAGUUGCAGUAAUGAUAUACAUGUUUGCAAUUUCACCCUGCUUUUUUCUCUUCCCCACAACAACUUAGGGAAGCUGCAUUUUAAAUUUUUUUUUCUUUUUUUAAACAGAUGCUUUAAAAGCAUCUCUGCUGUGGCAUUUGUUGUAUCUGUACUGCUCUCAGAAUGAGGGAAACUCUGCAUAAUGUCAUGUUCUCUCUAAGUACCAUGAAGGGCUUUUGUUUUGUGUGGUGGGUUGGCUUUUUGUUGGUUUUUUGAGUUUUUUUCUGUUCUAGCUGGUCAUGAAUGAGGAUUAUGGCCUGUCGCCCACAAUAAGUCAUGAAUGAAGAUCAUGGCUGGUAAUUGUGAUGUAUAAAAUAAAAAGAGUGGGAGAUGCAGGGCUGAGAUGCUCUGGGUGUUCAAUCAUUAUUCAGCACAACCCAGCCAAGUGGAGUUUAAUCUUCUCAGACCACCUCGUCCCAAGAUCUUAAAUUUGGGUUUUGUUGGAUAAGCCACCAUUUACUCACUGCAUUUAUUAAUUACUUGCUGACUUCCCAGUACUUCCAGCGGCAUUAAACUCUGUCCCAGGGAAGAAAAUUGCUCCCAACUGAUGAUCCCAUUGGUUAAAAGCAAGAACACAAACAAUCCUCACCCAAACAAAUAAAUAAAACAGGGAGAAAAACAUUAUUAGAAGAGUUUUCACUACUAGAGCAAGCAAAGAAAACUACUGGCAUUUUACACAGCAAAGUUCCUCAUCAGUCAACAGAAUUUUCCUUAAAUUUUCUAUUACAAAAAGAAUCUCAGUGUUUAAUAUAAAAAAUAAAGGGCUAUUUAUUUUUCAAAAAUCAUUUAAAAAUAGCAUAAAUACCAUAUGAAUUCAGUUCAUAUUUCACCUGCUUUGCUUAGGAAGAUGACUUCAAGCUCAGCAACCUCUGUGAGUAAACACCGGGGUGUAUUUGGUCAAACAACCCAAAAUACUUGCUGAAGAUUACUUUUACAAACAAGCCUGGGAAAUUUGCUUUGCUGUUUGCUGUUGGGUUGUGUUAUUUGCUCUCAGCAAGUGUUCAGAUGGGCCCUGACUGGUUUAUUCAGACAAAUAUUUGCAAGACCUUUUAAGUUUGGCCUAAAUGUUUAUUUGUUGAAAAAAUUCAUAUGAGGAAAGACUUGGUUAUUCUUCAUUCACUUGCCAGCAUUGUUAUUCCUCAUUUUUUAAGAAGUCAUAUGUCCAGUAAGAGAAUGGAGACAAUGCCCAUGUGAUUUUGAUGACAAAUUGUGUGUUAUAAACAACGACUGGUAAAAAUGAUCAGUGCUUGAAUAAGGCCAACACUUGUUUGCAUAAACCAUCCAGUAAAUAUUUAGAAAUAACAAAUACUUUCCUAGAAAUCAGAAUUGCUGUGUGAGCAGAUCGCCAGCAAGAAGGAACACAAAACUUGGGGAAUAUUUUGUUUGCCAUGAAAAAAAAAAAAAUUGGACCACUUGUUCCUGAAUAUUUCAAGCAGAAAAAUUAAGCUCAAGCAUUUCUUUAUAACCCUUCCAACACAAUUGGUUAUUAGCAGCUCUUCCAGCUAAGGAUGCACCUUGGGAUUCUUUAAGAGAUAUUUCUUAAAUUAGAUAAAUCACACAGCUAAUGAGACUUGCUCUUGGAAAGCUCAAAAUUCAAUUUUUGUUGUGUUUUUGGGGUUUUUCCUUAUCUUUUCCAAUUGUGUUUCCUUCCUUGUGCACAUGUGAUACUCUGUUAACCUUGGUCCCUGCUACUUGCUCACAUUCCUACAUCAAUUUUAUCCUAAAGUAAACCUUUAAACAUCAAUUUUUAAAUUUAAUUUUAUCUUUUGUAGGGCAAAGAAACAACAUUAAAAUAUUUAACACGUGGCCAGUGGAUAGGAGGAAAAUAAACACAAUAUUUGAGGUCUUCCACCUCUCUUGGUGUCCCCUUUAUGGUCUCAUAAAGGGCAGAAAUAUCAACAUCUACUUCAAGGAGCAUAAUAAUGGUGACCAAAGUGCAACUUUAAAACGAGUUUGCCUGUUAGCUGGGAAACAUUUAUUUAUGCAGUGCUGAGAAGAGCUGGAGCUGAAAAUAUCCUUUCAGAGACAUUAAAGCACAUUAUUAGGAGCUGUGGCUCACCAACACACAGACUCAAAUGCUGGAUGAGGAACUCCCAACCCUGGCACCUCACUGGAAACAUCCCUGCCUGGCCCCAGCCCUGCCACUUCAGAAUGAAAACUGAAAGCAAAGA